rnacentral:rRNA from 1 species
UACGACUACAUAUCAGGCAUAUCAAUAAGCGGAGGAAAAGAAACUAACAAGGAUUCCCCUUAGUAACGGCGAGUGGAGCGGGAAGAGCUCAAAUUUGAAAUCUUCAAGGGUUUACCUUUACGAAUUGUAGUUUAAAGAAGUGUUUUCUGUUGGAGUUUCGGUAAAAGUUCUUUGGAAUAGGACAUCAUAGAGGGUGAGAAUCCCGUAUUUGACCGUUACUUUCCAGCUGUGUGAUACACUUUCAAAGAGUCGGAUUGUUUGGGAAUGCAGUCCAAGAUGGGUGGUAAAUUUCAUCUAAAGCUAAAUAUUGGCGAGAGACCGAUAGCGAACAAGUACCGUGAGGGAAAGAUGAAAAGAACUUUGAAAAGAGAGUUAAACAGUACGUGAAAUUGUCAAAAGGGAAGCGUUUGACACCAGUGUUGUUUAGUUGAAAAUCAAUUCAAUAGUUUUUGAUUCUAAGUAGUAUUGACUUCAUCAGCUUGCUGCUUUCUUCUCAGAAAUUAUUGAAUGCACUUUUCAGUUAACAAGUCAACAUCAAUUUCUUUUGUUGUAAAAGGGUAAGAGGAAGGUGGCUUGCGCUUCGGCUCAAGUGUUUAUAGCCUUUUAUCUCUGCAAUCGGAGAGAUUGAGGUCUGCAGCGUAGAUCCUUCGGGGUUAGAUACAUUGGUGCUAAGCUAUAGCCUUGUAUAGACAACUUGUUGACUAUGCUCAGUCAUGUAGCUUACUCGCUGAUGCUAUUUUACCUACGCUUAGGAUGUUGAUCUACAGAGCGAGAGU